GACGAACGCUGGCGGCGUGCCUAACACAUGCAAGUCGAGCGGGGAGAGAUUUUCGGAUUUCUCUUUAGCGGCGGACGGGUGAGUAACACGUGGGUAACCUGCCUCAAAGAGGGGGAUAGCCUUCCGAAAGGAAGAUUAAUACCGCAUAAUAUCAGGAAGCUGCAUGGCAUUCUGAUUAAAGGAGCAAUCCGCUUUGAGAUGGACCCGCGGCGCAUUAGCUAGUUGGUGAGGUAACGGCCCACCAAGGCGACGAUGCGUAGCCGACCUGAGAGGGUGAUCGGCCACAUUGGAACUGAGACACGGUCCAGACUCCUACGGGAGGCAGCAGUGGGGAAUACUGCACAAUGGGGGAAACCCUGAUGCAGCAACGCCGCGUGAGUGAUGAAGGCCUUCGGGUCGUAAAGCUCUUUGAUCAGGGACGAUAAUGACGGUACCUGAAAAACAAGCCACGGCUAACUACGUGCCAGCCGCCGCCGUAAGAC
rnacentral:rRNA from 1 species